rnacentral:rRNA from 1 species
AGACCCGAAACCCGGUGAUCUAGCCAUGGGCAGGUUGAAGGUUGGGUAACACUAACUGGAGGACCGAACCGACUAAUGUUGAAAAAUUAGCGGAUGACCUGUGGCUGGGGGUGAAAGGCCAAUCAAACCGGGAGAUAGCUGGUUCUCCCCGAAAGCUAUUUAGGUAGCGCCUCGUGAAUUCAUCUCCGGGGGUAGAGCACUGUUUCGGCUAGGGGGCCAUCCCGGCUUACCAACCCGAUGCAAACUGCGAAUACCGGAGAAUGUUAUCACGGGAGACACACGGCGGGUGCUAACGUCCGUCGUGAAGAGGGAAACAACCCAGACCGCCAGCUAAGGUCCCAAAGUCAUGGUUAAGUGGGAAACGAUGUGGGAAGGCCCAGACAGCCAGGAUGUUGGCUUAGAAGCAGCCAUCAUUUAAAGAAAGCGUAAUAGCUCACUGGUCGAGUCGGCCUGCGCGGAAGAUGUAACGGGGCUAAACCAUGCACCGAAGCUGCGGCAGCGACGCUUAUGCGUUGUUGGGUAGGGGAGCGUUCUGUAAGCCUGCGAAGGUGGCCUGUGAGGGUUGCUGGAGGUAUCAGAAGUGCGAAUGCUGACAUAAGUAACGAUAAAGCGGGUGAAAAGCCCGCUCGCCGGAAGACCAAGGGUUCCUGUCCAACGUUAAUCGGGGCAGGGUGAGUCGACCCCUAAGGCGAGGCCGAAAGGCGUAGUCGAUGGGAAACGGGUUAAUAUUCCCGUACUUGGUGUUACUGCGAAGGGGGGACGGAGAAGGCUAUGUUGGCCGGGCGACGGUUGUCCCGGUUUAAGCGUGUAGGUGUGUGUUCCAGGUAAAUCCGGUUCACUUUAACACUGAGGCGUGACGACGAGGCACUACGGUGCUGAAGCAACAAAUGCCCUGCUUCCAGGAAAAGCCUCUAAGCAUCAGGUAACAUCAAAUCGUACCCCAAACCGACACAGGUGGUCAGGUAGAGAAUACCAAGGCGCUUGAGAGAACUCGGGUGAAGGAACUAGGCAAAAUGGUGCCGUAACUUCGGGAGAAGGCACGCUGACACGUAGGUGAAGUGAUUUACUCAUGGAGCUGAAGUCAGUCGAAGAUACCAGCUGGCUGCAACUGUUUAUUAAAAACACAGCACUGUGCAAACACGAAAGUGGACGUAUACGGUGUGACGCCUGCCCGGUGCCGGAAGGUUAAUUGAUGGGGUCAGCGCAAGCGAAGCUCCUGAUCGAAGCCCCGGUAAACGGCGGCCGUAACUAUAACGGUCCUAAGGUAGCGAAAUUCCUUGUCGGGUAAGUUCCGACCUGCACGAAUGGCGUAAUGAUGGCCAGGCUGUCUCCACCCGAGACUCAGUGAAAUUGAACUCGCUGUGAAGAUGCAGUGUACCCGCGGCAAGACGGAAAGACCCCGUGAACCUUUACUAUAGCUUGACACUGAACAUUGAGCCUUGAUGUGUAGGAUAGGUGGGAGGCUUUGAAGUGUGGACGCCAGUCUGCAUGGAGCCGACCUUGAAAUACCACCCUUUAAUGUUUGAUGUUCUAACGUGGACCCGUUACCCGGGUUGCGGACAGUGUCUGGUGGGUAGUUUGACUGGGGCGGUCUCCUCCUAAAGAGUAACGGAGGAGCACGAAGGUUGGCUAAUCCUGGUCGGACAUCAGGAGGUUAGUGCAAUGGCAUAAGCCAGCUUGACUGCGAGCGUGACGGCGCGAGCAGGUGCGAAAGCAGGUCAUAGUGAUCCGGUGGUUCUGAAUGGAAGGGCCAUCGCUCAACGGAUAAAAGGUACUCCGGGGAUAACAGGCUGAUACCGCCCAAGAGUUCAUAUCGACGGCGGUGUUUGGCACCUCGAUGUCGGCUCAUCACAUCCUGGGGCUGAAGUAGGUCCCAAGGGUAUGGCUGUUCGCCAUUUAAAGUGGUACGCGAGCUGGGUUUAGAACGUCGUGAGACAGUUCGGUCCCUAUCUGCCGUGGGCGCUGGAGAACUGAGGGGGGCUGCUCCUAGUACGAGAGGACCGGAGUGGACGCAUCACUGGUGUUCGGGUUGUCAUGCCAAUGGCACUGCCCGGUAGCUAAAUGCGGAAGAGAUAAGUGCUGAAAGCAUCUAAGCACGAAACUUGCCCCGAGAUGAGUUCUCCCUGAGACUUAAAGUCUCCUGAAGGAACGUUGAAGACGACGACGUUGAUAGGCCGGGUGUGUAAGCGCAGCGAUGCGUUGAGCUAACCGGUACUAAUGAACCGUGAGGCUUAACCUUACAACGCCGAAG